rnacentral:rRNA from 1 species
GAUGAACGCUAGCGGCAGGCCUAAUACAUGCAAGUCGAACGGGAUUGGGGAGCUUGCUCCUCAUGAGAGUGGCGAACGGGUGCGUAACGCGUAUGCAACCUACCUUCAUCAGGGGGAUAGCCCGGAGAAAUUCGGAUUAACACCGCAUAAAAACACAGUACGGCAUCGUACAAUGUUCAAAUAUUCAUAGGAUGAGGAUGGGCAUGCGUGUCAUUAGCUAGUUGGUAAGGUAACGGCUUACCAAGGCGACGAUGACUAGGGGAUCUGAGAGGAUGACCCCCCACACUGGUACUGAGACACAGACCAGACUCCUACGGGAGGCAGCAGUAAGGAAUAUUGGUCAAUGGAGGCAACUCUGAACCAGCCAUGCCGCGUGCAGGAAGACGGCCCUAUGGGUUGUAAACUGCUUUUAUACGGGAAUAAACCUUGAUUCGUGAAUCGAGCUGAAUGUACCGUAAGAAUAAGGAUCGGCUAACUCCGUGCCAGCAGCCGCGGUAACAC